rnacentral:rRNA from 1 species
UACGUAGGGUGCAAGCGUUAAUCGGAAUUACUGGGCGUAAAGCGUGCGCAGGCGGUUUUGUAAGUCUGUCGUGAAAUCCCCGGGCUUAACCUGGGAAUCGGCGAUGGAGACUGCAAGGCUAGAAUCUGGCAGAGGGGGGUAGAAUUCCACCGUGUGAGCAGUGAAAUGCGUAGAGAUGUGGAGGAACACCGAUGGACGAAG